rnacentral:tRNA from 1 species
CGGGGCGUAGCGCAGCCCGGAAGCGCACUUGAAUGGGGUUCAAGUGGUCGCCGGUUCAAAUCCGGCCGCCCCGA